rnacentral:rRNA from 1 species
CGUAGGGUGCGAGCGUUAAUCGGAAUUACUGGGCGUAAAGCGUGCGCAGGCGGUUUUGUAAGACAGAUGUGAAAUCCCCGGGCUCAACCUGGGACCUGCAUUUGUGACUGCAAGGCUAGAGUACGGUAGAGGGGGAUGGAACUCCGCGUGUAGCAGUGAAAUGCGUAGAUAUGCGGAGGAACACCGAUGGCGAAGGCAAUCCCCUGGACCUGUACUGACGCUCAUGCACGAAAGCGUGGGGAGCAAACAGGAUUAGAUACCCUGGUAGUCCACGCCCUAAACGAUGUCAACUGGUUGUUGGGUCUUUACUGACUCAGUAACGAAGCUAACGCGUGAAGUUGACCGCCUGGGGAGUACGGCCGCAAGGUUG